GACGAACGCUGGCGGCGUGCUUAACACAUGCGAGUCGAACGGAAAGGCCCUGCUUUUGUGGGGUGCUCGAGUGGCGAACGGGUGAGUAACACGUGAGUAACCUGCCCUUGACUUUGGGAUAACUUCAGGAAACUGGGGCUAAUACCGGAUAGGAGCUCCUGCUGCAUGGUGGGGGUUGGAAAGUUUCGGCGGUUGGGGAUGGACUCGCGGCUUAUCAGCAUGUUGGUGGGGUAGUGGCUUACCAAGGCUUUGACGGGUAGCCGGCCUGAGAGGGUGACCGGCCACAUUGGGACUGAGAUACGGCCCAGACUCCUACGGGAGGCAGCAGUGGGGAAUAUUGCACAAUGGGCGGAAGCCUGAUGCAGCAACGCCGCGUGCGGGAUGACGGCCUUCGGGUUGUAAACCGCUUUCGCCUGUGACGAAGCGUGAGUGACGGUAAUGGGUAAAGAAGCACCGGCUAACUACGUG
rnacentral:rRNA from 1 species